UACGGAGGGUGCAAGCGUUAUCCGGAUUCACUGGGUCUAAAGGGUGCGUAGGUGGGCUAGUAAGUCCGUGGUGAAAUCCCCGAGCUUAACUCGGGAACUGCCGUGGAUACUAUUAGUCUUGAAUAUCGUGGAGGUAAGCGGAAUAUGUCAUGUAGCGGUGAAAUGCUUAGAUAUGACAUAGAACACCGAUAGCGGAGGCAGCUUACUACGCGAUUAUUGACACUGAGGCACGAAAGCGUGGGGAGCGAACAGG
rnacentral:rRNA from 1 species